rnacentral:lncRNA from 1 species
UCUAGAGUUUGCUUUUGAUAUAUGUACUUGUGUGUAUUUUUAUUUUGUAAUGUGAUGAAUUUGAACUUCUUAGGGAUUGCAAUAUGGUUGUUAGUUCAACGAAUGAUCUUUUUAUUUUGUUAGUAUUUUCUAACUUCUGUUUUCCAGAGUUUUUAGUUGUCUCCUAAAUUUGUCCAAUUUGUUUGAUUUUUAACAAGUUAAUCUUUUUAAAAUUUGUCUACAUUAAACCUAUCAAGUUUGAGCAUAUAAGUUCCUUGUGAUGAUUGUUUAGAUGUUGCAUUAUGGAAUAUUAUGUUCUGUACCAUAUGGACAUUAGUAAGUCAAUUUUUUAAAUUUAAUCUUUUGAAAACCCAAAUACUAAUGGAUGCAUUAAGGAGAAUCAGAUUCAAAGAAAGGAAUAAAUACCUUGUUCACCACCUUUAGCGAUGGAUCGGACGACGAUUCGGUCCGUCGCGUAUAUUAGAGAACCGUCGUUUUAGCGACGCAUCGAAUCGUCGCU